rnacentral:lncRNA from 1 species
GGACCAGAGAUCCCCCAACUCAGGAGACGUGAAGCUGGCAGCUGGGCCGCUGGCCUAGAAAUGGCCUCAAAUGGAAGCUGCGACCGGAUCCUGGUGGAGGUUUUGGAGCUAGGCUAGAGAUGAGGAGUCCAG